rnacentral:tRNA from 1 species
GCGGGUAUGGUGAAACGGUAUCACAUUUGCUUCCCAAGCAAAGAGUACGGGUUCGAUUCCCGUUACCCGCUCCA